rnacentral:rRNA from 1 species
CCUACGGGUGGCAGCAGUCGAGAAUCAUUCACAAUGGGGGAAACCCUGAUGGUGCGACGCCGCGUGGGGGAUUGAAGGUCUUCGGAUUGUAACCCCCUGUCCUGUGGGAGAAAAUUAACAGGGUAGUACCACAAGAGGAAGAGACGGCUACCUCUGUGCCAGCAGCCGCGGUAAUACAGAGGUCUCAAGCGUUGUUCGGAAUCACUGGGCGUAAGGCGUGCGUAGGCUGUUUCGUAAGUCGUGUGUGAAAGGCGCGGGCUCAACCCGCGGACGGCACAUGAUACUGCGAGACUAGAGUAAUGGAGGGGGAACCGGAAUUCUCGGUGGAGCAGUGAAAUGCGUAGAUAUCGAGAGGAACACUCGUGGCGAAGGCGGGUUCCUGGACAUUAACUGACGCUGAGGCACGAAGGCCAGGGGAGCGAAAGGGAUUAGAUACCCGAGUAGUC